rnacentral:rRNA from 1 species
CCUACGGGAGGCAGCAGUGGGGAAUAUUGCACAAUGGGCGCAAGCCUGAUGCAGCGACGCCGCGUGAGGGAUGACGGCCUUCGGGUUGUAAACCUCUUUCAGUAGGGAAGAAGCGUAAGUGACGGUACCUGCAGAAGAAGCGCCGGCUAACUACGUGCCAGCAGCCGCGGUAAUACGUAGGGCGCAAGCGUUAUCCGGAAUUAUUGGGCGUAAAGAGCUCGUAGGCGGUUUGUCGCGUCUGCUGUGAAAGACCGGGGCUCAACUCCGGUUCUGCAGUGGGUACGGGCAGACUAGAGUGCAGUAGGGGAGACUGGAAUUCCUGGUGUAGCGGUGAAAUGCGCAGAUAUCAGGAGGAACACCGAUGGCGAAGGCAGGUCUCUGGGCUGUAACUGACGCUGAGGAGCGAAAGCAUGGGGAGCGAACAGGAUUAGAUACCCUGGUAGUCCAUGCCGUAAACGUUGGGCACUAGGUGUGGGGGACAUUCCACGUUUUCCGCGCCGUAGCUAACGCAUUAAGUGCCCCGCCUGGGGAGUACGGCCGCAAGGCAAACUUAAAGGAAUUGACGG